GAUGAACGCUGGCGGCGUGCUUAACACAUGCAAGUCGAACGAAGCACCUUAGACAGAAGCCUUCGGGCGGAAGACUUUGGUGACUUAGUGGCGGACGGGUGAGUAACGCGUGGGUAACCUGCCCUGUACCGGGGGACAACAGUUGGAAACGACUGCUAAUACCGCAUAAGCGCACAGCAUCGCAUGAUGCAGUGUGAAAAACUCCGGUGGUACAGGAUGGACCCGCGUCUGAUUAGCUAGUUGGUGAGGUAACGGCUUACCAAGGCAACGAUCAGUAGCCGACUUGAGAGAGUGAUCGGCCACAUUGGGACUGAGACACGGCCCAAACUCCUACGGGAGGCAGCAGUGGGGAAUAUUGCACAAUGGGGGAAACCCUGAUGCAGCGACGCCGCGUGAAGGAAGAAGUAUUUCGGUAUGUAAACUUCUAUCAGCAAGGAAGAAAAUGACGGUACUUGACUAAGAAGCCCCGGCUAAAUACGUGCCAGCCGCCGCGGUAA
rnacentral:rRNA from 1 species